CCAAGGCUGGAAAAGACCUUCAAGAUCAUGCAGUCCAACCAGUCACCUAUCACCAAUAGUUCUCACUAAACCACGUUCCUCAACACAGAAUCCAACCGUUCCUUGAACACCUCCAGGGUCGGUGACUCCACCACCUCCCUGGGCAGCCCAUUCCAGUGCCUGACCACUCCUUCAGAGAAGUACUAUUUAAAAAAAUUGAGUCUUUAAAGAUGUGUACUUCGCAAGCUUUAUUUCCUCAAAGUGCAGCUGUAUGCUUGGAAAUGUAUUUAAGUUCAGAUCCAUAAACGGAGAGCAAUAGUAGUAUAUCUCCAGGGCUGUUGUCAAGUGACUGCAGCCUGGCAGUCAUUGUGAAGUGCACCAGUGUAGCUCAAAAAUGCCUCCUGCCUUUAUAUUUUGUAUUGAUCCAAAUUAUUUUAGUGCAUCCUAUUACUGAAGUCAAAAGCUUUUUUCAAGUGCAUGGGUGUUCUGUCUUUUUGUCAGAAGUCAGGUAUAUUGCAAAUCUUGGCAUAGAUAGCUUUUCUUUAACAGCUUAAGUUUAUUUAGAAAACAAGACUAACUAAGACAUUGCUAGAAUAGAACUGGUAAUGUGGAGAUGACAGCAGCUAUGUAAGGUUAGCCUGCAAAGGAAAGUUUGCCUGAAAUAAGACUGGCUAUAAAUCUGAAGCAUCAUAUUUGUUCCUGGCUUUAUAUAUAUAUAUAUUUUGUCAAUUUUUAUAUGGCUUUGAGGGUUAGACCCAGUAAGAUACGUGUCUAUUACAAGCUAGAAGCUGUAAUGGCAAAGUUUGUGUUACUGAACUGUGGUGCUGGAUCAGAAGCUGUGCUGGGUGUGUUGUGCCUUAUUUGCUGAACGAAGACGCACAGAUUUUGGAAUGCUUAUCUGUGCUUGAUUCAAAGCUUCAGUGAGAUACAUCCAGAGCACUGGGAUCACUUCCUGUCUUAACGUCAUGGUGCUUCUACCUGGCUUGCAAGUAACAGUGUGGAACUGGAGGAGAGGUGAUGAUUUCCCACUUUUAAAGCAAUGUUUCUUAAAUAUGUAUUUACCACAUACAACUCCAGUGAUCAACAGGCUUUUCAAAACAUUGGAGUAUUAACUCCUGCCAAGUAAACUAAGUUUAUGAUCUAUGUGGUUAGCAAAUAAACUUGGGUGCUAUGUUGAAAGUAAUUUUCUGUGUGGAGGUGGUUACACAAACCACUGGGUGAAGAGCUGCGAGUCACUCACCGUCCAUAACUGGCAGCAGAGAUGCUUCUGUUCAGUCCCCACGUGCGAAUUCUGCUACUUGUGUUAUAGGAAUGGGGGUGAAUGGGCUGCCAUGGGUGCUAAUUUUAGGGGUGGAAAGCAAGGGAGAAAUUACAGAUAUACUAGGAGUUCUAGUUUGGGAAGAUAAAUUGUAAGAGGGCAUGAUAGAAAUGGAUGUUCACCUCCUCUUAAUUUCUGUUUCAGCUGUAAGUGUAUUUGUAGUGAGCCAUAACCUGCAGUUCCUGCUGCCCAAUAAAUCCAAUUUUGGAUAUCAACUGAGGCUGACCUGACCAGCUCCAACAGGAGGCUAUUGGGAGCACUGUCCAGAGGGUCUGAGCAGAGCAAUGUCCUGAGAGAGGUGAUGCUUUGCCUUCCUGUAAGAUUGAUCUUGAGGAAUGUCAGGUUUUUGGAUUCUGAACAUGGUGAAUGCAUGUUUCCUCAGACUUGAUGGAAUUUUAGAUGCCCAAAGAACUGUCUGUUCAAAUGAUGAAGCAAGCUGUAAUCUAAACAGACAAGUCCUUCAUCAAGAAUAGUUACUGGCUUUACAGGAAGAGAUGCCUCACCCUGAGGAGCGUGGGCCAAGGAGUGGAAGAACACUGUUGUUAGUGCAGCUCAUCAUAAAGGGUUAUGGGACGAUUCAAAGAGUGGUUAUUCACAGUCAAGAGCCCUCCACACUGUAAAGCCCCUGCAUGGCCUUUGAAGAGCCUCAGUGAACCUGAGGAGCUCACGGUAUAACCAAGGCAGAGAAGCCAAAGCAACAAGGGAACGAAGCACGUUAUGAAUAGACAUGAGAAACCCACUGUUGUGUGCCAAAGUGCCUGUAUCACACACUGCCUUGAUGUAUCACAAAAGCAAAUCAGCGCUGCUAUUUUCUGCCACCUCCAUACUGCCAUAUUUUCUGCCACCUCCAUCAGAUGCACUUGGUGCUUGCCAGACACAGAGCAGAACUCCCCUUCAAGUCUGAAGCAGGAAAGAGGUGAUGGUGGUACCCAGUGGGACCUGGGUUCUUCACUGCAGUCAGAAAAUCUUUGGCACUUACCAAUGCCUGUUCAUUCUGUGCUCACCAGGAAACAGAAAGUGACAAAAAAUCUACCCAAGCCACAGCUUUAUUGUUCAGAACUCAAUGCCUGGAUACAUAAAUACACAACCUGACUUUUUCUGCCUCCAGACACAGAGAUUUCACUGCUGGACAUGGGGUGCUGCCAUGGGAAGGGCUUGGUACCGAUAGUGGUCAUCUGUGUGGAAAAGCCAUGGCUGUAAACAGAGAAACGGUUAAAAUCCUGUGCAGUGUGCCCCUCUCCUAAACGAUCACACUGUACUUGUUUUCCCUUUCUCUUCUCAAAAUUGCUGCCUUGGGGAGGUAAAGAAUUACCAUUGCCAUAAACCGUAAUCAGGAUCAGAUGUGCUGAGGGAAAGGCCUCGCUCAAAUAUCAAAGAGGCCUUAAGCUGCCAAAACACAGCAGAGGCAGGAAUCCCCAGGGAAUCAGAGCUGUAAUUUGCGCCUGACCUUGAUUCUAACCAGGAGAUGCAGUGGCCCCAUGAAAGCAAGUUUUGUUCCAUUUGGGGAUCCUCAUGGCCGUGGUGCAGGUCACAGCACCAGGUGCCAUGCAGGGCUGACGGCCACCCACCUGCUCCAGGGAUGUUCUUCUAUGCCAAGCUCCUUGCAGCAGCAACAGCGGUCCUGUCGGCCCUCUGGGGCAGUGGCACUCCAGCACUGCCAGUGUUCUCAUUGUGCAGCUGUUGUCUGGAUUUGGAAGCAAGGGAGAUAAGGGAGAUGGUUAGUGGGUAUGGAGGUGAUGGGUUGGGGAUUGCACUAGAUGGUCUUAGAGGUCUUUUCCAACCUUAACGAUUCUGUGAUUCUCUAACUGUGAGGAGGCUGUGAUAUCUGGAUCAGCUCUCAGCCAUUCAAUCAUAACAUCAAACAUUCCAAGAGAAAACAGACUGAUGUCAGCUCUGCAGC